GGAGAGUUGGCAGAGUGGUAAUGCACCGGACUCGAAAUCCGGCGAGCCGAUUUAUAUUGGUGCGCAGGUUCNGCGCAGGUUCAAAUCCUGUACUCUCCU
rnacentral:tRNA from 1 species